rnacentral:rRNA from 1 species
UACGAAGGGGGCUAGCGUUGCUCGGAAUCACUGGGCGUAAAGCGCACGUAGGCGGGUUGUUAAGUCGGGGGUGAAAUCCUGGAGCUCAACUCCAGAACUGCCUUCGAUACUGGCGACCUUGAGUCCGGGAGAGGUGAGUGGAACUCCGAGUGUAGUGGUGAAAUGCGUAGAUAUCGGGAGGAACACCAGUGGCGAAGGCGACUACCUGGCCUGUUCUUGACGCUGAGGCGCGAAAGCUAGGGGAGCAAACGGG